GACGAACCGUGCGAACGUUGUUCGGAUUCACUGGGCUUAAAGGGCGCGUAGGCGGCUUGCCAAGUCAGUGGUGAAAUCUUUCGGCUCAACCGGAAAUGGCUGCUGAUACUGGCGGCUGGAGGGAGGUGAGGGCAGAUGGAACUUCCGGUGGAGCGGUGAAUGCGCAGAUAUCAGGAGGAACACCGGUGGCGAAGGCGGGUCUCUGGGCCGAUACUGACACUGAGGAGCGAAAGCGUGGGAGCGAACAGG
rnacentral:rRNA from 1 species